GACGAACGCUGGCGGCGUGCUUAACACAUGCAAGUCGAACGGAAAGGCCCUGCGUUUGUGGGGUGCUCGAGUGGCGAACGGGGGAGGAACAGGUGAGUAACCUGCCCUUGACUUUGGGAUAACUUCAGGAAACUGGGGCUAAUACAGGAUAGGAGCUCCUGCUGCAUGGUGGGGGUUGGAAAGUUGCGGCGGUUGGGGAUGGAUUCGCGGCUGAUGGGCUUGUUGGUGGGGGAGGGGCUGCCCAAGGAUUUGACGGGUAGGCGGCCUGAGAGGGUGACCGGCCACCUGGGGCCUGAGAGACGGACCAGACUCCUACGGGGGGCAGCGGUGGGGAGUAUUGCCCAGUGGGCGGAAGCCUGUUGCAGCAACGCCGCGUGCGGGAUGACGGCCUUCGGGUUGUAAACCGCUUUCGCCUGUGACGAAGCGUGAGUGACGGUAAUGGGUAAAGAAGCACCGGCUAACUACGUG
rnacentral:rRNA from 1 species